AGCUAAUAGAUACCCAGGUAGUCCCAGCAGUAAACGGUGCGCGUUUGGUGUGAGCAGAUUCGACUCUGUUCGCGCCGGAGCUAACGCGUUAAACGCGCCGCCUGGGAAGUACGAUCGCAAGAUUAAAACUCAAAGAAAUUGACGGGGGCCCGCACAAGCGGUGGAGUAUGUGGCUUAAUUCGAUGCAACGCGAAGAACCUUACCUGGGUUUGACAUGCAUCUCUAAGGAGGUGAAAGCUUCCGAGGGUAGCAAUACCCGAUUUGCACAGGUGCUGCAUGGCUGUCGUCAGCUCGUGUCGUGAGAUGUUGGGUUAAGUCCCGCAACGAGCGCAACCCUUGUAUGCUGUUGCUAUGCUUACGCAUAGCUCUCUGCGUAGACUGCCCCGUGAAACGGGGAGGAAGGUGGGGAUGACGUCAAGUCAGCAUGGCCCUUACACCCAGGGCUGCACACGUACUACAAUGCUCAGUACAAUUAGAACCUGCCCGCGA
rnacentral:rRNA from 1 species